UCUACAGUCUAUACUGAACCUGAAAUGGGUGGAAAGGAGGGUGGUGAGAUUAUAAAAUCUCAAUGAGUAAACAGACAUCAUCAUAAACAUCUAGAGUUGAGUACAUGGAGACAAUAAAGUAAAUCAUCGUAAACUAGGUCACAGCAUUAGAAUACAUUUCAUUUAAAAUACGUGAAGAGGCUUAUGAAUUUCAUAAAAACUAGGCUUGUGCCAUAAAUCCAUUCUCAAGGACACCUUGGCCGAGGCAUCCUACCGAGACCGCCAAGGCUAUUAAAAUUCACAUUUCACAUA
rnacentral:lncRNA from 1 species